rnacentral:lncRNA from 1 species
GGGUCUUCCGGUCAACUUUUUGCCCUUUUAUAGUAAUACAUUUUUUCUUUUCUUUAUAUCAUAUUAUUUGUCAUUUAAAUGUCUUUAAGAGUCAAUUUACAGACUUUGACCGGGAUUUUUAUAUUUUUGUGAAUUUUAAUUCAAAGUUGAAAACUUCACUUCAAUAUGUUUGUACAAGGGGGUCUUCCGGUCAACUUUUUGUCCUUUUAUAGUAAUAUAUUUAUUUUUUUCUUUAUAUAAUAUUAUUUGUCAUUUAAAUGUCUUUAAGAGUCAAUUUACAGACUUUGACCGGGUUAUAUGCUUUUUCGUGAAUUUAAGUUUUAAUGUUCAAAAAUGUGUUGCCAGAGUCGCACUAAGAAAGCCUUCCGGUCAACUUUUCGGUAAAAAUGCAUAUUAAAAUAUAUAUUUUUUUUAUUUUAUCUUAUAGACUAUUAUAUUAGCUUUCAAAAUCAGUUUUAUUUAUUAAUUUAGCUUUAGGGGUUCCAAAGAUAUUAGUUAUAAUACACUAAUUUUUCAUUUCCGCGUUUUAGACCCUCC